GCCCGUGUAACUCAGUGGUAGAGUACCUCCUUGGUAAGGAGGAAGUCACGAGUUCAAAUCUCGUCACGGGCU
rfam:Oscillatoria nigro-viridis PCC 7112, complete genome.